rnacentral:lncRNA from 1 species
CCCAAGCCAUCCUUAGAAAUUUUACUAUAAUCUCUCCUUAGAUUACAGUUUGACUAUUUUUUAGGCUCACAAUUAAAAUUCAAUUGAUUUUCUAAGUGAAAAUCAAUUAAAACCAUACCCUCAAGCCAAUUCUAGACUUUCACAACAAUUCUAAUCCAAUUUAAGACUUGGACAUUGCUUUUCCUCAAGUUUUAAUCCC